AUGGUUAAGUGACUAAGCGUAUACGGUGGAUGCCUAGGCAGUCAGAGGCGAUGAAGGACGUGUUAAUCUGCGUUAAGCUGUGGGGAGUUGAUAAAAAGCGUUAAUCCACAGAUUUCCGAAUGGGGGAACCCACCUUACUUUGUAAGGUAUCGUAACGUGAAUACAUAGCGUUACGAAGCGAACCGGGAGAACUGAAACAUCUAAGUACCCCGAGGAAAAGAAAUCAAUAGAGAUACCCUUAGUAGCGGCGAGCGAACGGGGUCUAGCCCUUAAGCAGUUUGGAAGUUAAUGGAAGGCUCUGGAAAGUGCCACGAUACAGGGUGAUAGUCCCGUACAUGAAAACGACCUUAUUGUGAAAUCGAGUAGGACGGCACACGUGAUAUGCUGUUUGAAUAUGGGAGGACCAUCUUCCAAGGCUAAAUACUACUGACUGACCGAUAGUGAACCAGUACCGUGAGGGAAAGGCGAAAAGAACCCCUGUGAGGGGAGUGAAAUAGAACCUGAAACCGUAUACGUACAAGCAGUGGGAGCCUACUUUGUUGGGUGACUGCGUACCUUUUGUAUAAUGGGUCAACGACUUAAUUUCAGUAGCAAGGUUAAGCGAAUAGCGGAGCCGUAGGGAAACCGAGUGUUAACUGCGCGAAUAGUUGCUGGGAUUAGACCCGAAACCCGGUGAUCUAGCCAUGGGCAGGUUGAAGGUUGAGUAACAUCAACUGGAGGACCGAACCGACUAAUGUUGAAAAAUUAGCGGAUGACUUGUGGCUGGGGGGUGAAAGCCAAUCAAACCGGGAGAUAGCUGGUCUCUCGAAAGCUAUUUAGUAGCGC
rnacentral:rRNA from 1 species